GACGAACGCUGGCGGCGUGCUUAACACAUGCAAGUCGAACGGUGAAGGGAUCAGCUUGCUGGUUCUGGAUGAGUGGCGAACGGGUGAGUAACACGUGAGUAACCUGCCCCCUUCUUCUGGAUAACCGCAUGAAAGUGUGGCUAAUACGGGAUAUUCUGGGUCUGUCGCAUGGCGGGCCCGGGAAAGAUAUUGUUUCGGUGGGGGAUGGGCUCGCGGCCUAUCAGCUUGUUGGUGGGGUGAUGGCCUACCAAGGCGGUGACGGGUAGCCGGCCUGAGAGGGUGGACGGUCACACUGGGACUGAGACACGGCCCAGACUCCUACGGGAGGCAGCAGUGGGGAAUAUUGCACAAUGGGCGCAAGCCUGAUGCAGCGACGCCGCGUGAGGGA
rnacentral:rRNA from 1 species